rnacentral:rRNA from 1 species
AGAGUUUGAUCCUGGCUCAGAUUGAACGCUGGCGGCAUGCCUUACACAUGCAAGUCGAACGGCAGCACGGGAGUAAUCCUGGUGGCGAGUGGCGAACGGGUGAGUAAUACAUCGGAACGUGUCCUGUAGUGGGGGAUAGCCCGGCGAAAGCCGGAUUAAUACCGCAUACGCUCUACGGAGGAAAGGGGGGGGAUCUUAGGACCUCUCGCUACAGGGGCGGCCGAUGGCAGAUUAGCUAGUUGGUGGGGUAAAGGCCUACCAAGGCGACGAUCUGUAGCUGGUCUGAGAGGACGACCAGCCACACUGGGACUGAGACACGGCCCAGACUCCUACGGGAGGCAGCAGUGGGGAAUUUUGGACAAUGGGGGAAACCUGAUCCAGCAAUGCCGCGUGUGUGAAGAAGGCCUUCGGGUUGUACAGCACUUUUGUCCGGAAAG